CAUUCAGUAGCCUAGCUACUUGUUUAUACCCUUGUUUUUUUGCGUACCUAUUGUUUCCUCGGUGGGCUUGCCUGCCGGUUGGACAAAACUAUAACCCUUUUAAAUCUUCAAUCAGCGUCUGAAUUAUACAUAAUAAUUA
rnacentral:misc_RNA from 1 species